UUCUGAAACUGGUGUUGCUGCGGGUCUGCAGCUGGAUACUAUUGUUUUUCAGUAGAGGACAUUGAACCAGAGCCCCCUCUGACUAAAGCAGACAAGGUGGCGGCCAAGAAGGUUAAGAAGCUGAACUUUGAUGAUGAGGAGGUUGAUGAAGAUCAGGGUCAGAACAACAUGAAAAAACGACCACAGGACGAAAGAUAAGCAGGAGGUCUCAUGAUGUGGGUCAGGGCAGUUUGGACAGAGCCAAAUGGAGAAGAGGAGGGAGUCAUCCUGGUUCGCUGGCCAACUGGGGCUAAUGUAAUAAAAGCAGUCGAAGAGAUGCGACAGCCAGCAAGCAGCUGGAAAAAGUUUCCACAGCUGGAAAUCAAAAUCAAGGAAAAGAAGCGGGAAGUGUGUGAAGCAUUUGACCAAACAACAACUGCAGAGCUAAGCCAGGAGGGUAUCGAAGAAGAAAAAAAAACCCAGGGUUUAUCUUAGAUGAGGAUGAAAGCAGCCCAGAUGGUGUGGAAGCAAAAUCACAACACAGUCGGUCCUUGCCAAAACCACCAAGGGUUCCACAAAAGUCAUGCCAGGCAUCAGGAUCAGGAGAAAAGACUUCUAGAUCCAGGUCUUACAGACCCUCCAUGUCUCUCACACUCUGCUCCAGAGCUCCUGCUCUCCACACCAGAGAUAUCACUCUCCGCGCCACAGCACUCCACACCAGCAGUCCCACACUCUGCUCCAGAGCUCCCGCUCUCCACACCAGAGAUCCCACUCUCCGUGGCACAGCACUCUGCGCCAGAGGUCCCUCACUCCGCGCCAGAGCUCCCACUCUUCAAGUCAGAGAUUCCGCUUUCCGCACGAGAGCAUUCCACACCAGCAGUCCCACACACCGCGCCAGAGAUCCCGCUCUUCAAGCCAGAGAUCCCACACUCCACACCACAGCCCUCCACAUCAGCGCUCCCACUUAUCUCAUCGGUGGUCCCACACUCCACGUAGGGGGAACCAGCACAGAGUGGGCGGUGACUUAUUCCCAUUAGAUAAUGGAAGUAUUUAUGCCACAUUAUUUUCUCACUGACAGUGGUGUUGUUGCAAAUGUCCCAAAUAUUUUGUUUCAUUCCGAUCCUCUAUCUGCUGGCCGAUAUUCGGGAAAAGCUGUCCCAUGUGGGCCAAAACCGUGAGCCCCCAGACACUCAGUUCCGCCUGGAGAAGAUAAACAGUAGGCGUGAGCUCAAGAAUCUGUAAGGUCAACUGGCUGAUGAAGGAAAGAAGAAUCUGAUUGUCAGUUUAACUAUGCCAGGCCAAUAUUAAUGCUUUGUUCCUAUCCUAUUCAGUGUUCUCUGUGUGCCUGAUAGGUAGAAAUUGUCAUAUUAUUUUUUUUUAAUGUUUUCAGAUGUCUCGGUUGGUUAAAAUUGGGGGGGUAAACCUUGAGGACUUUGUGAAAAAUAUGAUGAAAAGAGUUCUUACAAAAAGAUGGCCAUGAUGAACAUGGAUGGCACAGGGCCAAAGAACUCUUUUGGCAAAACAUGGCUCUGCCAAGUUACAGUAGGCCUACUGUUCAGCAGUCAAAACCACCAUCGUCAGAGGCUGAUAUAAAUAAACACAUGAAGAACUAUCUCCGGUCUGCUCCUGACAGAUUUGGGGGCAUGGGACGCCAAAAGGGCCGGACGGCGAUUGAUCUGCGUUCAGAUUCAGAAUAGUUAUCUAAUCCAUCCACAGCACAAAGCUGAAUUUUAAAGAUAUUUUUUUUUGUUUUUCAUAUUAAUUAUAUGGGGUGCCAACUUCACAGUUUUCACUUGUAUUUUUGAA